CGUCUGGAUUUUAAUGAUUUGUAUAUUCACAUUGUAGUAUUUAGUAAAAUUCUUUAAUUUAAGAUUUUUUGUAAAUACUGCAUAUAUAAAUCAUUGAUCUCACUCUCACCCCUGUUACAUUACAAUUUUGUCAUACCAUUUUGGAAAGGUUAUGAAAUAUGAAUUUGAUGUUUGAGCUCAGUCUGAAAUGUUUAGAGCAAUCAUGAGAAUAUUGAUUUUAGUUCAAAUUCUGAAGUUAAACAAUACUUUUGAUAAAUUAAGAGGCUGCUGACAGUGUCCCUUUCAGCCUUUAGUAUAGCAAAAGUGAGAUUUUAUAUUUCUAAUUAUUGAAUUAGUUUGAGGGACAUAUGAUUAAUACAGAAAUGUUGAUUUUAUUACAAAUGUCUGUUAUAAUCAUAUUCAGACUACUUCCAUAGCAUCCAUUACAGGGUUGAAGACAAAUGGUGUCCAUAUCAGAAGACAAUGCCAAGAGUGUGCAAAGCUGUCAUCAAGGCUAAAGAUGAACGUGGUACCUUCAGGCAUUUGGAAAUUGCUCUCAAGGAUGAACCAGACUUGUGGAGGUCUACAAUUUCUUUCCUGAGGUCUUGGCUGAUUUCUUUUGAUUUCCCCAUGAUCUCCAGCAAAGAGGCAUUGAGUUUGAAGGAAAACGACCCUAAGCACACAGCCAAGACAACGCAGGAGUGGCUUCGGGACAAGUCUCUUUAGGUUCUUGAGUGGCCCAGCCAGAACCUGGACUUGAACCCGAUCAAACAUCUCUGGAGACCUGAAUAGCUGUGCAGCGACGCUCCCCAUCCAACCGGACAGAGCUGGACAGGAUCUGCAGAGAAGAAUGGGAGAAACUCCCCAGAUACAGGUGUGCCAAGCUUGUAGCGUCAUACCCAAGAAGACUCGAGGCUGUAAUCACUGCCAAAGGUGCUUCAACAAAGUACUGAGUAAUUGGUCUGAAUACUUAUCUAAAAUUUAUUUCAGCUUAUUUUUUAUAAAUUUGCUAACAUUUCUAAAAUCCAGUUUUUGCUUUGUCAUUAUGGGGUAUUGUGUGUAGAUUGAUGAGGGGGGAAAAACUAUUUAAUCCAUUUUAGAAUACGGCUGUAACGUAACAAAAUAUGGAAAAAGUAUGUCUAAAUACUUUCCGAAUGCACUGCAUAUACUUAACAUGGACAACAUUAGUCAACAUAUGCAUGUGGUUAUAAAAAUAAAGAUAAACAAUAAUAAUUCAUUUGAAUAACUUCAAAGUCAACCCUGUCAGUCUCACAACCUUGUUAUGAUCAAACAAGUAACAGGGUUGAGUUUUUUGGCUCAAAAUGGCCACUGCUCCUCAUGUGGUGAAGAACAGGAGACAACAUGGCAUGCAUGAAAUUCCAUAUACAGUUGAAGUCGGUUUACAUACA